GUAUUUCUCUCAUGUUCCAAAGGAAGGAUGACUUGCCAAAUUCAUCUUUAAAGAACUAAACUAGUGAAUACUUCCGAAAGUAUUUUUCAGGAAAUCGAUUUUUAGUUUCAGGGGAAUAUACAUAAUCUUCAAGAGAUAUGAUCUACAUACCUGACAGGGAACAAAGCAGCAUGAUUUCUACAAGUCUAAGAAAAACCUAAGAAAUAUAAAAUAACAUUCUGAAACUGGUAAAACAGCCGGAAGAACCCAGAGGAUCAUGCUUUGCCUGCUUGCUUAGAUCUCUGCUUCUUGCCUGCUCCUGACCAUCCAUGAGCUAUCUGCCAUCUUGCACCCCCUCCUACUAAGCACAACUGGGACCAUCCCCGACCACUUUCUGCACUCUAUUGUUCUGUCUGGUUACCAAAUUUUGCAUCUAGCCAGAGUUAGGCUAGGUAUCCCAUCUAUCAAGCCCUGAUUUAAGAAACAUCAUAACACAAGAGGCAGUUAUAAAUGGCUAACAUUUGUGGAUAUACUAAUUAUAUAGCAGGUAUUGUGCUGUGUGUUUUAUAUGGAUCAUGCCAUUUGUUCAGAACUGAGACUUCCAGCAACCACACAGAUUACCUAUCAGAACUAUGAUAAGGCUUAAAAGUCAUAAACAACUUCAUUUCAUGCAUCAAGAACUACUAGGAAAUAAAUCUAUUCAAACAAUAAACUGUUCAAACAGCCCCAUUCUCAGGAGGGUAAGUUGCUCACGUGGGUAAACAGCCUGUUUCAUAGGACUAUUAUAUAUUGCCUAACUAGUCAAACUGGUUGCUUAUCAAUUAACCUCCAGAACUUCGUUAUUAUGUCUACCCAUCCCAAACUAUUAUGUUACAUACUUCACACAAUACAUUAAAAGACCUUCCUUAAACUACUUAAGUCCAGAUUCCCCAUGUCUACAAAUAUCCACCUUGGCCUCUCCUUUCUAUGACUACUAAGACAUCUGUUAAGGUGGUGAUCAGGAAAUAAACUCAGUUUCCUUCUUCAUCAGGUUAUUCUGGUGGUCUUUUGUGAGGUUAACAGAAAAGAUAAUCCUUACAAUAUUCCUUAUGAACCAUUUGUACUUUUUUUCUUUUC